CAGGGUUGAAACUUUUACAGAUGUCCGGUCGCAGUGGCGGAAAAGUCGAAUGAAAACUGCACAGGUCUGGAGAACACUGGUUCUGUGGUUUCCAGGUGCGGAGAACAUUGGUUCUGUGGGUUCCAGGUGUGGAGAAGACUAGUACUGUGAGUCCAGGUGUGGAGAACAUGGGCGGUGUUCCUCAGGGACUGGCAGCGGCAUCUGUUGACUUACUGCUCUGCCAGACUGCCAGCCAGCCUGCUCUCUGACAACGCUCACCUACACCACUCUGCCAACCACAGCUAUCCUGCUACAUCUACCCAGAUGCUACAGUCUCCAGAUUCCCCCAUGAAACACAUCCUGGAGGAGAGGUUAAUUAGUAGAGAAAUAAAUGCCCUGCUUCUAAAAAGUCUCACCUGCACAGUCUCACUAUGCCUCAUCCCUUCAUGUACAUUGUUACAUACAGUAGUGUUAUUGUUAUGCCAGACAGUGAAUUUGUGGUAUUUUGUCUUCAAAACAUUUAGCUUGGAGCAAUGUAACGGCAGGAUGACGAACUGCAUGGUGUUGAAAAUAACAUGUUUUUGGGAAGGUGUUGUUGACGUUCAACAAAACCCCCGAAUGGAUUCAUCAUAAUACCUCAAAUAUACAAUACAGUUGAAGGUUUUAACUCUGUUUUCAUAUCCCUGCCUGUUGAAUUCCCAAUAGGCCUAAAUAAUUUGCUAUUUAGUGGUGCGACUAAUGUGUUAGCCUUACCCGGCUAUGUUUAUAAAGAGCCCAUUGAUGGGGCUCUCAGUUGACCAUGUACUACAAGAGAUUACACACAAGGACAUGUGUCAAAGGGGGCUGUAGAUCCCACACUAUGAAUUGGGGCUCACAUUUGCCUGCAGCCUUAUCUCUCCCUCUCCCGUUUGGAGGCUUGUGAUAAGGAGUGCCUUGGGAGCCCCCAUUAUGAAAACCUAUCCGGCCACACAGCAAUUGACUGUCAGAGAGGAACAGAACAGGGGCUUUUCACAGUGUUCACAUUAGAGACUGAUUCCCCUCUUUAUGUUGUAACUUUUCCCCUGUUUCUUCCCAUUUAUGCUUGAAUAAAAACUUUGUGUGGCCUAGA